UUUGUAUGAGUGCUCAGUAGGUAGAGCAUGAGACUCUUAAUGUCACGGUUGUAGGCUCAAGCCCCACAUUGGGCAAAA